AUCUCUAAGGCUUAAUAGGUUAAAGGACCUGACUCUUGAACAGAAAAUCCUGGGUUCAAUUCCCAGUGGAAUG
rnacentral:tRNA from 1 species